GAUGAAGAACGCAGCGAAAUGCGAUAAGUAAUGUGAAUUGCAGAAUUCAGUGAAUCAUCGAAUCUUUGAACGCACCUUGCGCUCCUUGGUAUUCCGAGGAGCAUGCCUGUUUGAGUGUCAUGAAAUUCUCAACCUUUCUGGCUUUUGCUAGUCAGGCUUGGAUUAUGGGAGCUGAUGGCUUUUGAAGUCGGCUCUUCUAAAAUGUAUUAGCAAGAUCAUUGCUGCUCAUCAUUGGUAUGAUAAUUAUCUAUAUCAUUGAGAGUCAGUUUCCUUUAUUGGAAGAUUUUGCUCCUAACGGUCUUUAGCAAGACAACAUUUGACGAUUUUGACCUCAAAUCAGGAAGGACUACCCGCUGAACUUAAGCAUAUCAAUAAGCGGGGA
rnacentral:misc_RNA from 1 species